rnacentral:rRNA from 1 species
GCGACCCCAGGUCAGGCUGGACUACCCACCUAA